AGGGUUGUGGCUCAGUGGUAGAGCACUCGCCUGGCAUGUGCGAGGCCCCUGGGUUCGAUCCUCAGCACCACAU
rnacentral:tRNA from 1 species